rnacentral:rRNA from 1 species
UACGUAGGGGGCUAGCGUUAUCCGGAUUUACUGGGCGUAAAGGGUGCGUAGGCGGUCUUUUAAGUCAGGAGUGAAAGGCUACGGCUCAACCGUAGUAAGCUCUUGAAACUGGAGGACUUGAGUGCAGGAGAGGAGAGUGGAAUUCCUAGUGUAGCGGUGAAAUGCGUAGAUAUUAGGAGGAACACCAGUAGCGAAGGCGGCUCUCUGGACUGUAACUGACGCUGAGGCACGAAAGCGUGGGGAGCAAACAGGAUUAGAUACCCUGGUAGUCCACGCCGUAAACGAUGAGUACUAGGUGUCGGGGGUUACCCCCCUCGGUGCCGCAGCUAACGCAUUAAGUACUCCACCUGGGGAGUACGGCCGCAAGGCUGAA